UCACGCCUGUAAUCCCAGCAGUUUGGGAGGCCGAGGUGGGUGGAUCACAAGGUCAGGAGAUCGAGACCAUCCUGGCUAACACAGUGAAACCCCAUCUCUACUAAAAAUACAAAAAAUUAGCCGGGCGUAGUGGCGGGCGCCUGUAGUCCCAGCUACUUGGGAGGCUGAGGCAGGAGAAAGGCGUGAACCCCGGGAGGCGGAGCUUGCAGUGAGCCGAGAUUUUGCCACUGCACUCCAGCCUGGGUGACAGAGCAAGACUCUGUCUCAAAAAAAAAAAAAAAAAAAAAAAUCAAGGCCGGGCACAGUGGCUCAUGCCAGUAAUCCCAGCACUUUGGGAGGCUGAGGCUCAUGGAUCACUUGAGGUCAGGAGUUUGAGACCAGCCUGGCCAACAUGUUAAAACCCUGUCUCUACUAAAAAUACAAAAAUUAGCCAGGCAUGGUGGUGGGCAUCUGUAAUCCCAGCUACUCAGAAGGCUGAGACAGGAGAAUCGCUUGAAUCCAGGAGGUGGAAGUUGCAGUGAGCUGAGAUCACACCAUUGCACUCCAGCCUGGGCAACAGAGCAAGACUCCAUCUCAAAAAAAAAAAAAAAGAAAGAAAUCAAAAAGCAGCACCGCCCCACCCAAAAAAAAAUCCAUGAGUAGUUAUUUAAUAAUCUGUAUCUGAUUUCUCCAAAAUCCUAAAGAGGCCUAAGUCUGUUGUUCAUAGUUUCUCAUUCAUCAUGGCUGGCUUCCUUGUGUGUUUGGAAAUUAUGUAUCAUGAGGCUGUGCUUUGUUGAACUUAAUAAGUGUAAUCUCAAGGGCUAAACUGGGAAUGUUUUCCUCCAGACAGGAGUGACUGGUGAGACAGUCAGCUACAAAAUGGAAAAAAACAAAUAUGACAAAAUGCCAAGGGGCCUAACACCACGGAAGCAAUAAGGGCUGCAGGAAAUGAAAAGAGAGAUAUCUGAGGUGGUAUUAAAGGUAGUGAAAGAGAUGGGUCGGUAUGUGAUGAAGAUCCUUUUCUUUAGAAAAGAAUUCUUCUCACAGUCACGUGGUCACAGGAUUGUUACUUUAGAAUCCCUUCCAACAUGUCUGGACCACAUUAGCCAGGAAAAAGAACUUUAACAUAGAGGACACAAACACAGGGCGUGCAGUAGCGCCAGAAUCUUUGUAUAGGAGGCUCAGAGGAGCAGCAAGAUCGAAACAGACACCCAGGGCGGGGCGCAGUGGCUCACGCCUGUAAUCCCAAGCACUUUAGGAGGCUGAGGUGGGUGGAUCACUUGAGGUCAGGAGUUUGAGACCAGCCUGGCCAACAUGGUGAAACACUGUUUCUACUAAAAAUACAAAAAUUAGCUGGGGGUGGUGGUGGGUGCCUGUAAUCCCAGCUACUCGAGAGGCUGAGGUGGGAGAAUCACUUGAACCCAGGAGGUGAAGGUUGCAGUGAGCCUGAAUCGUGGCACUGCACUCCAGCCUGGGCAACAGAACAAGACUCCGUCUCAAAAGAAGAAAGAAAGAAAAAGAGAGAAAAAAAGAAAGAGAGAGAGACAGAGAAAGAGAAAGACCCAGAACGCUUGCCUUACAACUCUAUGCUUAAUAAUCUGUAUCUGGCCAGGCGGGAUGGCUCAUGCCUGCAACCCCAGCACUUUGGAAGGCCAAGGCAGGUGGAUCAUCUGAGGUCAGGGGUUCGAGACCAGCCUGGCUAACAUGGCAAAACCCCAUCUCAACUAAAAAUACAAAAAUUAGCCGGGCAUGGUGUUGCACGCCUGUAAUCCCAGCUACUUGGGAGGCUGAGGCAGGAGAAUCGCAGAGGUUUCAGUGAGCCAAGAUCAUGCCACUGCACUCCAGCCUGGGCAACAGAGACUCCAUCUCAAAAAUAAUUAAUUAAUUAAUUAAUUAAUAAAAUAAUCUGUAUCUGAUCACUCCAAAAACCUGAGAUGGCCUAAGUCUGUCAUUCAUAGUUUCUGCUGAUUCUCACUCAUGAUGGCUGGUGUGUUUGGAAAUUGUAUUUAAUAUACCUUGAGUUCGUACUUAGUUGAACUUAAUAUGUGUAAUCUCGAGGGCUAAAUUAGAGAUGUUUUCC
rnacentral:lncRNA from 1 species